UAGGGAAUCUUCCACAAUGGACGCAAGUCUGAUGGAGCAACGCCGCGUGAGUGAAGAAGGGUUUCGGCUCGUAAAGCUCUGUUGUUAAAGAAGAACGUGGGUAAAAGUAACUGUUUACCCAGUGACGGUAUUUAACCAGAAAGCCACGGCUAACUACGUGCCAG
rnacentral:rRNA from 1 species